GGACAUUCUGCAGUCAGCCACUGUUCUUGGCUUCCAACCAAAAGCAAAACUAAGGCAAGGCAGAGCACAGAGGGUGCUCAGGCAGAAGCUGCUUCCCCUCCUGGUGCAGCCAUUAGCUGCUGUAGUAUCUGUGACCUGUCAGAACCUGCUUCCUUCAUUUUGGGAAUAUUUGACCAACCUCAGAGCAAUUGCUGUUACGAGCCAAGGAGGUCAAAGAGCAAUGUCCAGUCUUCCCAUUCUGUCCAAGUCAGAUUUAUCGACCAUGUUUCGGAAAAAGGUGAGCCUCAGGGAUAGUUUGUCAAUGGCUGAGCUAAUCACAAAGGUGCCUGGGCAGGAAUACUGGCACCAGCCAAAUUUGCAUUACUUGUUCUGAGCAAUUGAGCUUUGUUUGAAGAAUGGGAGGGGAUAAAGAAGAUAACUGAUCAUUUUCUCAGGUGACUGACCUGGUGAUUAGGAGCAGCCUUCUUGGAUGCAGUUAGGCAAAGUCUGAAUGUCUUCCCUUCUCCCCCCACCGCUCUCUCCUGCCACCCCAGGAGCAACAUAUAAAAAUGUGUAGCUCCAGGCAUGAAAGUAGCUUCUGUCUACACAAUGCAGGUCAAAGAGAAGGAACUGACCAGGUGUCCAGGCACCAAAAUACCAGGCUGGUCUAGCCCCAACUCUCCUUCUCACAUGCCCACGUUCACGCAACUAACUCACAGGGUUUUGGGGAAGACUAAGACGGAGUGAAUGUAAAACCCACUCCCUUCUGCCCACGUUCACAUGGUCCAUGCUGAGGGAAUUCAGAAAAGGAGACAGACCCGGGGGGGUGCGUCAGUCAAGGCAAGUUUCUCGAAGGAAGGAAGCAGAACUCAGGAGGACAUGGACUGGAACAGUCAGGGCAAUUUCAGGCUGUGACAAAGCUGGAACGGACGACUGUAGCAGGAGCAGGAGUCACUGACAUUCUAGGCCAGGCCAGGGCUAAGCCAGAGAACCUAUUAAUAGUAAUCCACAAAUAGAUAUGGGGCACCUCCUAGGAACUCUCCUUGUUCCAAGCGUCGUACCUCGUGUGAUCCUUAGCGGCUCUCUGAAGCAGACAGAAGAGGGCCAGCCAUCUUUCUUCCACCUUUGAGGCUUGGGAAGGGUGAGACUUGCUGGUGACUUACAACUCCAUCAAAGGGGCAUGGUGAAAUAAGGGCCUGGGCUCCUGACUUCUGGGCUAGGGCUCUUCCAAAGGCAGAGUCUGGAGAGGCCUGGCUGUGGCCAGACCAUGGGGCAAGUGGCUAGAGGGGCGAGUAGACAGCAGAGGCAGCUGUGGCCCCCGGGAUUAGCACUGGGGGACCGGAUGGGGGAGGGAGGCCUCACUUUGUUCUAUCUGAGCAGCUUCCUCGGCAGUCAUGGGACUGAUUGAGACCACGCGAGGGCUCCUCCCGGGGGCAGGAGGGACUCAGAGGCUGCCCCGUUGUCUGGGGGUGGCCCUGGCGAAGGAGCUCAUCUUCACGGGCCGACGACUGAGUGGAACUGAGGCCCACGUACUGGGGCUGGUGAAUCACGCUGUGGCCCAGAACGAGGAGGGGGACGCCGCCUACCAGCGGGCACGAGCACUGGCCCAGGAGAUCCUGCCCCAGGCCCCCAUUGCCGUGCGGCUGGGCAAAGUAGCCAUUGACCGAGGAACGGAGGUGGACAUUGCAUCUGGGAUGGCCAUUGAAGGGAUGUGCUAUGCCCAGAAUAUUCCAACCCGGGACCGGCUAGAGGGCAUGGCAGCCUUCAGGGAGAAGCGGACUCCCAAAUUUGUUGGCAAAUGACCCCCAUUUUAACCUUCAGCAUGGGAGAUGCAUGCCCUGAAGAGCAGGAUCCAGAAGGAAGAUUUGUGGCCAGAUUGCCUUCAUCAUUUCACCUCUCCAGACUUCCAUUUCUUCACAAGGAUGAUGAUGGAAAUAAAAUGACUGGCGUGAUGCCUGGAACCAAGGUGCUGAUCCUACCACCUACUGCUACCUUCCUUAGCUUCACCCUGGCUAGAAAUAAUCACGAGGGUUGGGUUUGCUUUGGAAAAUGCCUGUCUCUCUACUUGAAUGAUAAAGAAUUAAAU
rnacentral:lncRNA from 1 species